UACGAAGGGGGCUAGCGUUGCUCGGAAUCACUGGGCGUAAAGCGCACGUAUGCGGACUCUUAAGUCGGUGGUGAAAUCCUGGAGCUCAACUCCAGAACUGCCUUCGAUACUGGGAGUCUCGAGUCCGGGAGAGGUGAGUGGAACUGCGAGUGUAGAGGUGAAAUUCGUAGAUAUUCGCAAGAACACCAGUGGCGAAGGCGGCACACUGGCCCGGUACUGACGCUGAGGUGCGAAAGCGUGGGGAGCAAACAGG
rnacentral:rRNA from 1 species